CAAGGUUGUGAUCCAAGAACAGAAUUCUGUUCCGGGCAUUGCCAACUAUCUGCUUUCCUUUUUGGCUGAGGUUGUUUUUGUGGCUUAUAAUUCCACUGUUGAGUGUUUUCCCAGGAAGCAUAAGUGUAUGGUCUCUGGGAAUCCUGUAAGAUUAUCGUUGAGGCAAUUUGUCUCAAAGGCAGUGGCUAGGAAGGAAUUCUUUCCGAGGGCUGGAGGGAAGGAAGAGGCUAAGGUUAUUUUGGUGCUUGGAGGGUCUUUUGGGGCCAACACUAUUAAUAUUGCAUUGUUGAACUUGUACAGCCAAAUGUUGCUUGAACAUAAGAAUUGGUUUAUUAUAUGGCAAACGGGGGUUGAGGCUUAUAAUGAAAUGGAAAGCCUUGUUAGGAUCCAUCCACAUUUAUUUUUGACACCGUUCUUGCAUUCAAUGGAUUUGGCGUAUGCUGCUGCAGACCUUGUUGUCUCUAGGGCAGGUGCAAUGACAUGCUCUGAGAUCUUAGCUACUGGGAAACCCGCUAUUCUGAUACCAUCACCAAAUCUAGAGGAAGGACAUCAACUGAGAAAUGCUUCUCUGAUGGCGGACGUAGCAGGUUCAAGGGUUAUAACUGAAGAUGAGCUAGAUUCUACUACGUUGGGAACCACAAUUGACGAGAUUAUAGGAGAUGAGGCUGUAAUGGCAGACAUGUCAGAAAGGGCUCUGAAAGCUGCAAAGCCUGAUGCCUCUGCAGAAAUCGCACGGCACAUUCUUUCCCUGGUCGAGGC
rnacentral:misc_RNA from 1 species